rnacentral:rRNA from 1 species
GGAAUAUUGGUCAAUGGGCGGAAGCCUGAACCAGCCAUGCCGCGUGCAGGAAUAAGGCCCUAUGGGUCGUAAACUGCUUUUGACGGGGAGCAAUAAGGGCGUCGUGACGUCCGAUGAGAGUACUCGUCGAAUAAGCAUCGGCUAACUCCGUGCCAGCAGCCGCGGUAAUACGGAGGAUGCAAGCGUUAUCCGGAUUUAUUGGGUUUAAAGGGUGCGUAGGCUGAGGAGUAAGUCAGGGGUGAAAUGCCGCAGCUCAACUGCGGAACUGCCUUUGAUACUGCUUUUCUGGAGUCCGGAUGCCGUGGGAGGAAUGGGCAGUGUAGCGGUGAAAUGCAUAGAUAUUGCCCAGAACACCGAUUGCGAAGGCAUCUGGCCGGGCCUGCAUUGACGCUCAGGCACGAAAGCGUGGGGAUCGAACA